GUAAGGAAGAGGCAUUUGUAGACAGCCCAGGUUCUGUCGUUGGCUCUGCUGCCUAAGUACUUGGUGACUUCAGAUAAACUGUGUCUUCUCUGGUUUUCACUUUUCCUAAGUGAAAUGGAGACGUUGAGCUAUGUCAGUGAUCAAACCAGCUCAGUUGAGGAUCUUGGUACCACCACAAUUUCUCCUGAUUAUUCUGAAGCAUGACACCUCUGAACCCCAGGGAACUCAGUUCUCUCUCAGAGCACCUUCAUCCACCUUCGCAGAUGGAAAGUUCCAGAAGCCAUGGCCUCUGUUCCACUCAUCUAAGACUCCUGGGAUAGAAAUGUCCAGCACUGGAACUCUCAUGCAGCAAGGGACCUGGGCUUCACCUACAGGAACAGGAGGAGGAGCCCUCACCUCCUCCCCCCAACACCCUGGCCCCUGUCCCUUGAGUCUCCACUGGGGCCACAAGACAGAGUAUGAGACUCCUUUCAUCUGUAAAGUGAGGAGGAACUGGUCUAGAUCUGGGGUCCCCAGGAGAGGGCUUCUGGACCCCUUCAGGUACAUUAAAACAUCCACGGGGACUUGAGAA